UGCAGCAGUUGAAUUGUGUAUUAUGAUGUUCUACAGCAGCUGAGGUGUGUAUUAUCAUGUUUUGGAGCAGCUGAAGUGCGUAUUAUGAUGUUCUGCAGCAUCUGAGGUGUGUAUUAUGAUGUUCUUUAACGCUGAGGUGUGUAUUAUCAUGUUCUGCAGCAGCUGAGGUGUGUAUUAUGA